rnacentral:lncRNA from 1 species
GUGGGCCGCAGGUCUGCACGCCCCGUGCAGGCUCCCUCAGUGUUCCCUAGGUGGUGGGCCUGCGUGGGCCUUGGGUCUUCAGAAGUGAUAUCGGGGGUGCGUGCACAUGGGGUGGUUUAGGAUUGGGUUGUGGCACAGUAACGUGUGGAGCACAAGUAGGAGAGAACAUAGAACCACAGGAUACCCCGAGUUGGAAGGGACCCGUGCGGAUCAUGGAGUCUAACUCCUGGCUCCACACAAGACCCUCCAAAAAUCAGGCCGUACGUCUGAGUGCGUUGUACAGAUGAUUCUUGAACUCCAGCAGCUCAGUGCCAUGACCACAGGGGAGCCCGUUCCAUGCCCACCACCCUCUGGUGCAGAACUUUUUCUUGAUAUCCAGCCUGAACCUCUUCUGCCCAAAGCAGACUUUUGUCAUCGUUUUCUAACCCAUACUGGUAAUCUUAUUACUAAGUCAAGUGUAAUUACUCUUGCAUAUUCAUUUUAAGUGAUGUCAUUCUGAUCUAGCAGAAAGCAGUGAUGAAGUUCUCAACUUUUUUGUGGUACGAUAGUAACGACGAGUGUUUUUCCAGGCAGGUGCCGGAGCGCUGCCAAAGGCUGCAACUGACCGUCAUAAGGCUGCAGUCAUCUUUGGAAAGCCAGGCCCCACCUGCAUGGCGUCCAGCUUCUUCCCUGAAGGUUUCUCUUCAUACUCAUGAGGUGAUGGAUUCUGGAAGCCAGUGCGCAUCGCUGGGUAGGAGUUUCCCUCUGUACCACGGCCACUCAUCGCUUCUUGGCAGAAACGUGCUCUGUUUUGCUUUGUGUCUCUACCACCUACAACUUCAAAAAAUACUUUACAGCAUACAUGGUACAGAAUAUUCCUCUCAGAGGAGAGCUAAACAGUUUCAACAGUGUGACAAAACAGAUUUCACUUUUUAAAUAGCAAACUUAUUACAUCUGCCUAAGUUUGUUUCCUAAUUUUCCCACCAAAAAAAAAGUGGGGAAAAAAGAUAUUACUGUCCAAAAAAGUACUGUCUGUCAUUUACAGUUUUGAGAUUGGUUUGCUUCUCUU